rnacentral:rRNA from 1 species
AAGUGUCUGAAUCCCACUGACCAAUGCCUUCGGGCUGCGGGGGUGGGCCUAGCGCACGACCCUAUGCUGGUGCGGUUAGCGUAUUAACAGGUGUGACGCAGGAAGGUAGCUGAGCCGGGCGAUGGUUGUCCCGGUCUAAGGAUGUAGGCCGAGAGAUAGGCAAAUCCGUCUCUCAUAUAAGGCUGAGACCCGAUGGGUAGCCCGUAAGGGCGAAAUCAGUGAUCCUAUGCUGCCAAGAAAAGCAUCGACGCGAGGUUCAAGUCACCCGUACCCCAAACCGACUCAGGUGAUCAGGUAGAGAAUACUAAGGAGAUCGAGAGAAUCGUGGUUAAGGAACUCGGCAAAAUGCCCCCGUAACUUCGGGAGAAGGGGGGCCUGAGGCGUGAAGGGAUUUACUCCUGGAGCGUUCGAAGGCCGCAGAGACCAGUGGGAAGCGACUGUUUACUAAAAACACAGGUCCGUGCCAAGUCGCAAGACGAUGUAUACGGACUGACGCCUGCCCGGUGCUGGAAGGUUAAGAGGAAGGGUUAGCGCAAGCGAAGCUCAGAAUUUAAGCCCCAGUAAACGGCGGUGGUAACUAUAACCAUCCUAAGGUAGCGAAAUUCCUUGUCGGGUAAGUUCCGACCUGCACGAAUGGCGUAACGACUUCCCAGCUGUCUCAACCGCGAACUCGGCGAAAUUGCAUUACGAGUAAAGAUGCUCGUUACGCGCAGCAGGACGGAAAGACCCCGUGACCUUUACUACAGCUUGGUAUUGGUGUUCGGUGUGGCUUGUGUAGGAUAGGUGGGAGACUGUGAAGCUUGGACGCUAGUUCAGGUGGAGUCAACGUUGAAAUACCACUCUGGUCAUAUUGGAUAUCUAACUUCGAACCGUAAUCCGGUUCAGGGACAGUGCCUGGUGGGUAGUUUAACUGGGGCGGUUGCCUCCUAAAAAGUAACGGAGGCGCCCAAAGGUUCCCUCAACCUGGUUGGCAAUCAGGUGUCGAGUGUAAGUGCACAAGGGAGCUUGACUGUGAGACUGACAAGUCGAGCAGGGACGAAAGUCGGGACUAGUGAUCCGGCAGUGGCUUGUGGAAGCGCUGUCGCUCAACGGAUAAAAGGUACCUCGGGGAUAACAGGCUGAUCUUGCCCAAGAGUCCAUAUCGACGGCAUGGUUUGGCACCUCGAUGUCGGCUCGUCGCAUCCUGGGGCUGGAGUAGGUCCCAAGGGUUGGGCUGUUCGCCCAUUAAAGCGGUACGCGAGCUGGGUUUAGAACGUCGUGAGACAGUUCGGUCCCUAUCCGCUGCGCGCGCAGGAAAUUUGAGAAGAUCUAUCCCUAGUACGAGAGGACCGGGAUGGACGAACCUCUGGUGUGUCAGUUGUUCCGCCAGGAGCACCGCUGAUUAGCUACGUUCGGAACGGAUAACCGCUGAAAGCAUCUAAGCGGGAAGCCGGCUUCGAGAUGAGAUUUCCAUCCCUUCGGGGGAGAGGCUCGCAGCUAGACUACUGCGUUGAUAGGCCGGAUGUGGAAGAGAGGACUAAAGACUCUUGAAGCUGACCGGUACUAAUAAGCCGAUAAUUUGAUA